UACUUAUAGGAAUGCAUGCUCCUACUUUAUUUCUUUUAUCAUUUGUUCACCGUCAGAAGAAUUUUAGAAACUUGCAUAUUAAUUAAAUUGAGAAAUUUAAGUAAUAGCACUUCUUUAUUAACCUUAAUUAUUUAUGUGACUUGAGAACAUCGUCUCCCUCUUUCUUUCCAUUUCCUUAGUGGCCGCCCGAGGCGUCGCGGGGCGAUGCCGGUCGGCCGCUUACGCCCAUAAUUCCUCCGGUAGCUCCUCGUAUUUUUCAUCACAAUAUCGAACAAAAAUCUCAAAAUUUAUUUAAGCCCAUAAUUGAAUUAUCGCAACUAUUUCCCCUUUGUUAAGAAAAAUUAUAUAUUUUCCGGGCUUGGGAUAAAUUAUUCAUACUUCAAAAUUAUUUCGAAAUUAAUUAAAUAACUCCUAAAAAUUUAUUCAAUCCCAUGAUUAACUUAUCGUAAUAAUUUCCCACCGAGAAUUUAUAUUUAUUUCGGCCUUGGAAAAAAUAUUCUAAAAUUAAAUAAACAAGUCCCCACAAUUAAUUCAAUUAUCAACCCAAUGAUUUAUUUACAAAACCCAAAUUCUCCACCUUAUCACUCAAAUUAAUAUUUUAAAGCCCCAAAACAAUUUUUAACUCAUCCUUAUCUCUCCAUUUUAUUUUGUAAUGCCCAACUAAAAAAGAAUGGCCCAAACUAAAUAAAUCCUCUAAUUUUAAUUUAUUAGCCCAAUUUCUUAAAACAAAACAAAAGCCCAAUCUUAAAAAAAAACAAAAUGCCCAAGUUAAAAGUCAAAGAAAAAGGAGUAAAAAUACUCCCCUUCUCUCUCUCGGCACUUCCGCCUCCCUCACUCUCCUUAACAAAAUUUUCCCCCAAAUUUUCCAUAGAUCCUCAUUUGGAGAAAUCCCAAAUCCGUCGGCCUCCAUCGUCCUACGCCGGCGACCUUUACGCUGUUUCGCCACCACCACCGUCUUAUCUUCCGCGGAAAACGCUGAUGCAGCGUGAGGAGAAGGAAGUCGUCUCUCAGCCGCCACCGCUGCUGCUGAUUCGUCGAUUCGCCGCAGCCACCGCGGCUGUCUUCCCCGGCGGAAAUCGCAGCUGUUCGCUGCUCGUUGGCGGAAUCAAGGACACCGCCGCCGUUCCACACCAGAAACUGCCGCCGCUGUUCGUGAGCAGCCACGGGAACUCUUCACCGGCUUCGGACAGCCCCGACGUCAAUCAGAACAGCACCGAAACCAACCCGAACAGCCCCGCUGCUGUCGCAGCAGCCCCGAAACACGGUCGCAGCCCCCGACUUCAGACGGGACAGCCCCGAUUCACCUCCGAACAGCCCCGAAACCAACCCGAAAGAUAAGUUUAAAACAAGGUAUAAUUUGUCCAAGUUCGUGGCCCUCCGCGUUGAAGUAUCCGUUUUCUUAAAGCAUACGACGUAUAAAUUAAAUUUUGUUGGACUUUUGUUGGAUGUAUCAAUCAUUAAAAUUUUUAUUAUGGGACUUUAUUUAUUUACUUAAAUUUAUUAUAUUCA